GAUGAACGCUGGCGGCGUGCUUAACACAUGCAAGUCGAACGGAAAGGCCCAAGCUUGCUCGGGUACUCGAGUGGCGAACGGGUGAGUAACAAGUGGGUGAUCUGCCCUGCACUUCGGGAUAAGCCUGGGAAACUGGGUCUAAUACCGGAUAGGACGAUGGUUUGGAUGCCAUUGUGGAAAGUUUUUUCGGUGUGGGAUGAGCUCGCGGCCUAUCAGCUUGUUGGGGGGGUAAUGGCCUACCAAGGCGUCUGCGGGUAGCCGGCCUGCGUGGGGGUAGGGCCACAUUGGGACUCAGCUGGAGGCCGCAGUGCGGCAGAAGGCAGCAGGGGGGAAUAUCGGACAAAGGGAGGAAGCCUGUGGCAGGGACGCCGCGUGGGGGAUGAGGGCCUUCAGGUUGUAGGCUCCUUUCGCUGGGAACGAAGCGUUUUUGUGACGGUACCUGGAGAAGAAGCACCGGCUAACUACGUG
rnacentral:rRNA from 1 species